CGGGACAUCAUUUGAGUUUGACAGACAAUUUCAAAACCUGUGGUCACUGGACGGGAGUGGAGUUUGGCCCUGCUCCCCCGUGUCCCACCAUACAGGUCAGGAAAGUUCUUCAUUUAAAGGGUUUUAAUUUCUCUGUGGUAGAAUUGACUUACAUGUUUUCCAUAAACAAACGUUCAAGAACCUUAACAAUUUGUGUAUAUGUGAACCUCCUUUAAUAUAUAUCUAAUAUGUUAACAUCUGAGUAUACACAGCAGGUACAUUUUUCUUGGACUGGCUUUGGGUGACAGUAUUCAUGAAGGCUCUAGAAUUUACUUGUUCCUCCAAGAAUUCUUUGUAUUGGGAAUAAAUCUAUGUUGGUCUGGCUUACUUUGGGGGGCAUCGUUAAUGGUCACAUAUGUCUCAAUCUCAGUUGCACCAAUGAAGAUGUACGUUUUUGAAGCUGGAAGGUACAUGAGUCCUUCAGAGUAAUGCUAUGAGUUCAAUGGACAAUCUGCUUUCUGGUGAAUGAUUUGGAAAUCUUCAAUAUGUAUUGGUGGAUCCUGAAGCAGCAUGAGAUAGAUUUCGUCCUCUAGGUGUCUCCAAAUUUUCCUUUGGUCUUAGAUGCUCCAGUCAGCUACUUUUGAAUAUACAAAUAGAAAAUAGACAGAAAAAAGUUAUUAAUCUAUCAUCAACUAUGCAGAAGACAGAUGAGACAACUGCAGGUAGAAAUGGGGUUGAUAUGAUUAGGGACUAAAUUUUUAAAAACAAAUGAGUUUGAAUACAACAUAAUCAAAGAUUCCAAAUCAUUAUGUCAUUUUCCCCAUCAACUCCAUUCUUAUUUUUCUUCCCAUGAUAAAGAGCAAACCUUAGAAAUAACAAAUAAGUAAAAAAGAAAAAACAUUUUCAAGUGAGCUUUUUGAUCAUAUUUGCUGUUGUUGUCGAGCCUUGUUUCCAAUAGUUGCUUUUUCGAGCUUUUAGGGAAAUAAUUAAUUGAAAUCCAUCAUUUUUCUCUUGGACCUAUCUAAAAUUGUGUGUGUGUGUGUAUGUGUGUCUGUGUAUGUGUGAAAAAUGUUCCUAGGAUCAGCUCUAUUUGCAUUGGUAUUUCCAGUGGAAAUGUCAAGUGUGACCUUUUUCUUGUUUGGGUGUCUAAUCCUAUUUUAAAGCCCUGUCACGCCCCUGCUGAGGGUCAGUGCCCUUGUGAAUAGAACUUCUGCACCUGCUCCCCCUUUCUUCUCCUCUUCUUCCCCUCUGCGUGGAACUGGAGGAUGUUCCGGAUGGCGAACAAAACAAUACUAUGCUUCAAUGACUGCAGUGACAGAAAAUAACUCCAGACUUGGGAAUUUGGUAGAGUAAGUUUUGAAACCAUGAGAAAAUAAACACAAAAAUCAGCAAAGCUGAAAAGAGGAAAAGAAAAAAACGUGCAGGAGCAUUGCAUUGCAUUGCUACAGAUAUCAGGGCUAACCUUCCCUUGAACUUUUCAAUUGAUAAAAUAGGGGCUCUGAUAAGGGAUCAGCUAUUGCAAAUACAGGAUGCUAAAAUCAGUGUCAUUGACAUUUCACCUGUAGGGAAAACAAUUAUUAACAUGAAAGAACUGUGGGAAAUAUAACCAAGGAAGCCCAAAUUACCAUAGCGACUGGAUUUGGUUUGCCUAUUUACCAAAGUAGAAUUUCAAACAAUUAUGCUCUGGGGAGCUGAAUUAAGCACUAAAUGAAUAUAGAUGAUUUGAAUAGUAAAAGGUUUGUACAUUCAGGCUUAUUAUCAUUUAAAGAUAAUGUUCUAUAAAAAUCAGUUCUUUUCACAGUGCUUGAGUUGAAUUAUAAUUUCCUAUCACAGGAAGUAGUAGGGAAUAAACAAAGAAUUGCUUAUUGGAUCCUAACCAAAUUUAAAUAUGUAAUUUGCCAUUAUACUGCAUUUGUUUUAAAGUUAACCAGGAGGGAAAAAUUCACACUGAAACACUGGUAAAACUAUAAAGUUCAAUAUCAACAGUUUUCCUUGACAACACAUUGACCACAAAAUCUCCAAGUGAACCAUAUUGAUGUUCUCACUAUUUUUUCCUAAAAUCCUGCUAAUUUUCUUUUUUUUUUCUUAUGAAAUAAAGCCUUCAUGGUGUUCUCUAAUCUUGUAAUACAAAUGCAUUUUAUCUUUCAUUUUGUACUAUGCUCCCAAAUCCAGUUUGGGAGGCAGCUCUUCAGUAAAUGUAUCUCUACUCUUCUCUCGUCACCUUACAUCUUGACCCUGGGAUCGGUUACUAGCUGGUUUCCUCACCUGCAGCCACCCAUCUCCACCCAAUCCAUCCUGCAAGCCACCACAAGAGUAAUCUUCCUAAAGGAUAACACGACACUCUUCCUCAAAGACCUCCAAACCCAAGAGAUAAAUAUAAAAAUGUAACUGACUUCACAAGGAGCCACCAAGCUAGUGAAGAGGUGCUGGUUCCCAGGGCCUUGUGACACUGGUGAAUCUGCUGUGUUCUUAAACUGUAAACAGAAUCCAGGAAAGAAGAUAAUAAUAAGGAAUAGUUUUGAGCACUGAUUUGUUCCAGGUAGUGUUCUAAGUACUUCACGUACACUAGUUCCUUUAAUCUUCAUGAUGACUCUAGAG